GGCAGUGACACGGGGUGCCGCGCUCCAGCCCCGCCCGGGCGAUCGCGGCUGAGAACACACCCGUCGAACCUGAUCUAGUUCGAACUAGCGAAGGGAUGUCGCGUGAGCGAUCG
rnacentral:ncRNA from 2 species